GUUCGCCAUGUUGUAAGUACUAAAAGAACUGAAUCAACAACCUAUUGGUCAGCUCCUAUUUUAAUUAUGUGUAAUGGUUAAAAUUUAAAAAUUGAAUAAAAAAUAAAUCUAAAACAUUUCUCGAUUAAAAUAGUGGCAGCGCUUCAAAAUGUCCAGUGUGUCUUUAAUCCUUUAAAGAGGCAUGUCUUUUUUAAAAACCUAAAUAACUCAACAAACUCCCCCCGAGGUAAUGAUUAAGAGGGACAGACAGGGGCAUUCGUACUGUGCCGUUAGAGGUGAAAUUCUUGGAUCGGCGCAAGACUAACGACUGCGAGAGCAUUUGCCAAAAAUGUUUUCUUUAAUCAA
rnacentral:ncRNA from 1 species